GGAGUUAGCCGGUGCUUCUUCUGUGAGUGAUGUCCUUCCUGCCGGCUAUUAACCCGCAGGCCUUCUUCCUCACUGAAAGUGCUUUACAACCCGAAGGCCUUCUUCACACACGCAGCAUGGCUGGAUCAGGGUUGCCCCCAUUGUCCAAUAUUCCCCACUGCUGCCUCCCGUAGGAGUCUGGGCCGUGUCUCAGUCCCAGUGUGGCUGAUCAUCCUCUCAGACCAGCUACGGAUCGUCGCCUUGGUGAGCCGUUACCUCACCAACCAGCUAAUCCGACAUAGGCUCAUCCGAUAGCGCGAGGCCCGAAGGUCCCCCGCUUUCCCCCGUAGGGCGUAUGCGGUAUUAGCCUGGGUUUCCCCAGGUUAUCCCCCACUACCGGGCAGAUUCCUAUGCAUUACUCACCCGUCCGCCGCUCGCCACCAGGGAGCAAGCUCCCCGUGCUGCCGCUCGACUUGCAUGUGUUAGGCCUGCCGCCAGCGUUCAAUCUGAGCCAGAAUCAAACUCUGA
rnacentral:rRNA from 1 species